GCUCCAAAAUUAAUUAGCUACGGAGAUACAUUUUCAAGGAGUGGGAAAGAAGUAUAUUAAGCAAAGAGAAGAGUCAUAGGAAGGGGAUUUGGAGGAGGGAGGCCGCCAUUGCUCGCUAAAACUGUUUAUAUUUGUCAAUGUUCAUGGUAGUACUCUGUAUUACUCUCACGCACCUAGAUAUUUUCUUGUCAGCUAUAAUUCAGAUUUAAGGUUUGCCACUUUUUGUUAACUGCAGGUCUUAACAUAUUUCUGACUACCAUUUGCCCCUUUAUUGUAAGCAUUACCCAAAUUUCUCAACCAACCUUCUUUUCUCAUUUCAUGCAUUGGCCUGAUUACCUGAGUUCAAAAUGUUCAGAGCUUGUCCUGCUUGUGGGCACUGGGCUCCAGCAUGUUGUUGCUCAGUUGGCGCUGGAGGUUGUUGAGGCAACAACCACUAAUUCUAGGAUAUUCUUUGGACAUUGUGAAGGAGCAUUUAAUUUGGUCAACGGGUAACUACAGAAUUUGAUAUACAGUGGCCAUCUUGAUCAGAAGGAAUUUAAUAGAGAUUAGAUGAGUAUGAAACAACUGGGUUGAUGCUGAUUCAUAGAGCUUUAUUAUGUUUUUGAAUUUCCUGGCAAGCUGACUUCCUAUGUUACAGAUCAGGUCAGAGGAAGAAGAUAAAGAAUGAUCUCGUGCGCCAUCGAGGAAGCUUGCUGGGCCUGAUGCGUCUCUGCCUUUCAGAAGUGGCCACCGUCAUCGACCCUCCUCUAACGCAUGGGUGCCCUCCUCGAAUAAUGCGGGAGGGUGGCCGGAGAGUGCAAGCGGAGGUGGGAGGCACUCGUGUUGUAGUACGAGGUGGGUGCAGCGCUGGGAUGUACGCACCGCGGCAUCAACGGAGCACCACUCUGCAAGUGUUCUGUAGCUGCUAGCAUGCGAUGUCCGUCAUUCUACCUCUGUUUCAGUUCAUUUGUCCGUGCAUCAGUGCUCCAUCUGAAGGUUCCAUGUCUAAAAUAGUUUCUGCCUCGGUAUUCAG